GACGAACGCUGGCGGCGUGCCUAAUACAUGCAAGUCGAGCGGAUGACGGAGGAGCUUGCUCCUCCUGAUUCAGCGGCGGACGGGUGAGUAACACGUGGGCAACCUGCCCUGUAGAUUGGGAUAACUCCGGGAAACCGGGGCUAAUACCGAAUAAUCCUUCGGACCUCAUGGUCCGAUGUUGAAAGACGGCAUCUCGCUGUCACUACAGGAUGGGCCCGCGGCGCAUUAGCUAGUUGGUGAGGUAACGGCUCACCAAGGCCACGAUGCGUAGCCGACCUGAGAGGGUGAGCGGCCACACUGGGACUGGGAAACGGCCCAGACUACUACGGGAGGCAGCAGGAGGGAAUCUUCCACAAUGGACGAAAGUCUGAUGGAGCAACGCCGCGUGAGUGAAGAAGGUUCUCGGAUCGUAAAACUCUGUUGUGAGGGAAGAACAAGUACCGGAGUAACUGCCGGUACCUUGACGGUACCUCAUUAGAAAGCCACGGCUAACUACGUGCCAGCCGCCGCGGUAAGAC
rnacentral:rRNA from 1 species